GGCCUAACACAUGCAAGUGGAGGGGCGGCACAAAUUAGUUACUAAUUGGUGGCGACCGGCGCACGGGUGCGUAACGCGUAUGCAACCUACCCUGUACUGGGGGAUAGCCCGGAGAAAUUCGGAUUAAGACCCCAUAGUAUUACGGAAUCGCAUGGUUCUGUAAUUAAAGGUUACGGUACAGGAUGGGCAUGCGUCCUAUUAGCUAGAUGGUGAGGUAACGGCUCACCAUGGCUACGAUAGGUAGGGGGCCUGAGAGGGUGAUCCCCCACACUGGUACUGAGACACGGACCAGACUCCUACGGGAGGCAGCAGUGAGGAAUAUUGGUCAAUGGGCGAAAGCCUGAACCAGCCAUGCCGCGUGCAGGAAGACGGUCCUAUGGAUUGUAAACUGCUUUUAUUUGGGAAUAAACCUCUGGUCGUGACCGGAGCUGAAGGUACCAAAUGAAUAAGCACCGGCUAACUCCGUGCCAGCAGCCGCGGUAAUACGGAGGGUGCAAGCGUUAUCCGGAAUCAUUGGGUUUAAAGGGUCCGCAGGCGGGCUUAUAAGUCAGUGGUGAAAGCCUACAGCUUAACUGUAGAACUGCCAUUGAUACUGUAAGUCUUGAAUUCGGUCGAAGUGGGCGGAAUGUGUAGUGUAGCGGUGAAAUGCUUAGAUAUUACACAGAACACCGAUAGCGAAGGCAGCUCACUAGGCCUGGAUUGACGCUCAGGGACGAAAGCGUGGGGAUCAAACAGGAUUAGAUACCCUGGUAGUCCACGCCGUAAACUAUGAUUACUCGUUUUCGGCGAUAUACUGUCGGAGACUAAGCGAAAGUGAUAAG
rnacentral:rRNA from 1 species